rnacentral:rRNA from 1 species
GUGUCAUGAAAUCUCAACUACUAGGGUUUCCUAGUAAGCUUGGAUUUGGGUGUCUGCCUUGCGAAAGGCUCACCUUAAAAGUGUUAGCGUGUCUAAUCAGUGAUAUUGUCUGGCGUAAUAAGUUUCGCUGGGCUAGCU